rnacentral:rRNA from 1 species
AUUGAACGCUGGCGGAAUGCUUUACACAUGCAAGUCGAACGGCAGCACGGACUUCGGUCUGGUGGCGAGUGGCGAACGGGUGAGUAACAUAUCGGAACGUAUCCAAUAAUGGGGGAUAACGAGUCGAAAGAUUCGCUAAUACCGCAUACGCCCUACGGGGGAAAGCUGGGGACCUUCGGGCCUGGCGUUAAUGGAGCGGCCGGUAUCUGAUUAGCUAGUUGGUGAGGUAAAGGCUCACCAAGGCGACGAUCAGUAGCUGGUCUGAGAGGACGACCAGCCACACUGGAACUGAGACACGGUCCAGACUCCUACGGGAGGCAGCAGUGGGGAAUUUUGGACAAUGGGCGUAAGCCUGAUCCAGCCAUUCCGCGUGAGUGAAGAAGGCCUUCGGGUUGUAAAGCUCUUUCGCAAGGGAAGAAAACUUAGCCACUAACAUUGGUUGAGGUUGACGGUACCUUGAUAAGAAGCACCGGCUAACUACGUGCCAGCAGCCGCGGUAA